UUUUAAAUGGCCGCAGUAUUUUGACUGUGCAAAGGUAGCAUAAUCAUUAGUUUUUUAAUUAAAAGCUUGUAUGAAAGGCUGGACGAGGUAAAAUCUGUCUCUAUUUAAAUUAUAGUAGAAUUUAACUUUUAAGUUAAAAGGCUUAAAUAUUAUUAAAAGACGAGAAGACCCUAUAGAUCUUUAUAGUUUGUUAAAUUAAAUUAAUUUAGAAAUAUUAAUGUUUUAUUUAAUUAAAUUAUUUUAUUGGGGUAAUAAAAAGAUUGAAUUAAUUCUUUUUUAAAAUAAACAUUAAUUUAUGAAUAUUAAUGAUCCAGUUUUACUGAUUAUAAGAUUAAGUUACCUUAGGGAUAACAGCGUAAUUUUUUUAGAGAGUUCAUAUCGAUAAAAAAGUUUGCGACCUCGAUGUUGGAUUAAAGAUUAUUUUAGGUGUAGAAGCUUAAUAAUUUUGGUCUGUUCGACCAUUAAAUCUUUACAUGAUCUGAGUUCAGACCGGCGUAAGCCAGGUCGGUUUCUAUCUUUAAUAAAACAAAAUAUUUUAGUACGAAAGGACCAAAUAUUUGAUAUAUUUAUAUUUAAUUUAUUGAAUAUUA
rnacentral:rRNA from 1 species